rnacentral:rRNA from 1 species
GACGAACGCUGGCGGCGUGCCUAAGACAUGCAAGUCGAGCGGGGCUUCGGGGCUUCGGCCCUGAAGCCUAGCGGCGGACGGGUGAGUAACACGUGGAUAACCUGCCCUCUGCUCUGGGAUAACAGGCCGAAAGGCCUGCUAAUACCGGAUAAGCUCACGGUCCCGCAUGGGGCUGGGAGAAAAGGCGCUGGAGUCAGUGGCGCUGGCAGAGGAGGGGUCCGCGGCCCAUUAGCUGGUUGGCGGGGUAACGGCCCACCAAGGCGACGAUGGGUAGCCGGCCUGAGAGGGCGACCGGCCACACUGGGACUGAGACACGGCCCAGACUCCUACGGGAGGCAGCAGUCGGGAAUUUUGCACAAUGGGCGAAAGCCUGAUGCAGCAACGCCGCGUGAGCGAAGAAGGCCUUCGGGUUGUAAAGCUCUGUUGCCUGCGAAGAAGAGCCCCGUCAGGAAAUGGGCGGGGUUUGACGGUAGCAGGCGAGGAAGCCCCGGCAAACUACGUGCCAGCAGCCGCGGUAAUACGUAGGGGGCGAGCGUUGUCCGGAAUUACUGGGCGUAAAGGGCGUGUAGGCGGCCUGUUAAGUCAGGGGUGAAAGACCGGGGCUCAACCCCGGGGGUGCCUCUGAAACUGGCGGGCUUGAGUGCUCUAGAGGGCAGUGGAAUUCCCGGUGUAGCAGUGAAAUGCGUAGAGAUCGGGAGGAACACCAGUGGCGAAGGCGGCUGCCUGGGGAGUCACUGACGCUGAGGCGCGAAAGCUAGGGGAGCAAACAGGAUUAGAUACCCUGGUAGUCCUAGCCGUAAACGAUGAGUGCUAUGUGUGAGGGGUAUCGACCCCCCUCGUGCAGGAGCUAACGCACUAAGCACUCCGCCUGGGGAGUACGGCCGCAAGGUUGA